AUGAAGAUGGCGACUUGCAUUCGUAAGGUGGCCUCGGAGGAGUUUGGAGUGUCCAGGGGAAGGAGAAGAGAAGAUAAGGAUACCUGGUGGUGGAAUGAUGAUGUCCAGAAGGCGAUUAAAGAGAAGAAAGAUUGCUUCAGACGCCUAUACCUGGAUAGGAGUGCAGACAACAUAGAGAAGUACAAGAUGGCGAAGAAGGCCGCAAAGCGAGCUGUUGGUGAAGCAAGGGGUCGGGCAUAUGAGGACCUCUACCAACGGUUAGGCACGAAGGAAGGUGAAAGGGACAUCUAUAAGAUGGCCAAGAUCCGAGAGAGGAAGACGACGGAUAUUGGCCAAGUCAAAUGCAUCAAGGAUGGAGUAGGCCAACUCUUGGUGAAGGACGAGGAGAUUAAGCAUAGAUGGCGGGAGUACUUCGACAAGCUGUUCAAUGGGGAGAAUGAGAGUUCUACCAUUGAACUGGACGACUCCUUUGAUGAGACCAGCAUGCGUUUUGUGCGGCGAAUCCAGGAGUCUGAGGUGAAGGAGGCUUUAAAAAGGAUGAAAGGAGGCAAGGCGAUGGGCCCUGAUUGUAUCCCCAUUGAGGUGUGGAAAGGUCUCGGGGACAUAGCGAUAGUAUGGCUAACCAAGCUUUUCAACCUCAUUUUUCGGGCAAACAAGAUGCCAGAAGAAUGGAGACGGAGUAUAUUAGUACCAAUCUUCAAGAACAAGGGGGAUGUCCAGAGUUGUACUAAUUACCGUGGAAUUAAGCUGAUGAGCCAUACAAUGAAGCUAUGGGAGAGAGUCAUUGAGCACCGCUUAAGAAGAAUGACAAGCGUGACCAAAAAUCAGUUUGGUUUCAUGCCUGGGAGGUCGACCAUGGAAGCCAUUUAA
rnacentral:rRNA from 1 species